rnacentral:lncRNA from 1 species
AACCUAAGCAACUGUAUAGACCAAUCACCUAACAGACCCAUACAGAACGCUCCACCCAACAAUACUUAUUUUUCUCAGAGAGGUUCCCAGGCUAGGGGUCUAAUCAAAGCUGUUGCUGCCGGCCUACGCCACAGCCACAGCAAUGCCAGAUCCUAGCCGCGUCUGCCACCUACACCACAGCUCACGGCAACACCAGAUCCUUAACCCACUGAGCAGGGCCAGGGAUUGGACCCGCAACCUCAUGGUUCCUAGUCAGAUUCGUUAACUACUGCUCCACGACAGGAACUCCACAAAAUAAUUUUUAAAAUCAAACUAUAUUUAAAAUUUUUAAAACUUCCUAUUUUUCUGAUGCCUGAACAUCCCCAUAAAUAGGCUGGAGUACUUGCCCAGGGGACCAAGUGCACCUGUGUGAUAAGGCUGGCUCUGCUACCAGAAGUUCGCCUUCUUGCCCUCUUCUGACUGUGACCUAGUCUCAUUCAGUCACAGCAGUGAAUCCCCUCAUACUAUUUGCUUAUGGACUUCACCCUGACCUGCAAUAAAGCACUUGUCCACAGGUCAUCUCUCUCUCAGAUCCCUACCUGCUUGGUUGAGCCCACUCUCUCUGGUGGUCCUCUUGUGUGGCGCCCCUGUGUGUAGUGCUGGGCUUACCUCUCCUAGGACUUGAGUGUAGUUAAGUCUCUUUCACUUUCGUAUAUCUCUUUAUGGUGUUAUUCUGUGUCUGUACCAGACUUAUCAACAAAAACAACAGCAAAAAACCAUCUUAAGUGACUCAAUAAUUCCUACAAUACACAAACACUAAAUAAAUACACAGAUCUAGAUUUACACCAUACCAAAAAAUGAUGAAACCACUGUAGCACAAGCGUUCAGACUACAUAAACUCCAAGGCAGGACAGCUCAGCCUCUGUUCCUACCCUCUCAUCUCCCAUGUUUGACAGGGACUCUGAUAGCUGGUGAUGAGGAAGCUUGGGGCUUCUUAAAGGCCACAGCACAUGGGCCAUGGCAUAACUGGUUGGUUUAAUAAGGAGCCAGCAGGAACAGGGGCAGUGAAGACUGGAAGGAUUUAGAUGAGCCUCAGAUCUAGUUUUAUCUGCCCCUAGAGGCUUUACCUAUUUACAUUGCCUACAGGCAGACAUUUGAAUUUGUAACCCUGGUUCUAAAAUGUUUUUGCCCUUCAGCCUUGUUAAGGGGUAUUUUUGUUUGUAAUUCUUGGAUUUCUCAAUAUGUGGCAAUAUGUUAUCUAGUUUUAUUCUUUUUCUGUGGCAGUAUGUUAUCUAGUUUUGUUUUUAUUGAUUUAAUUUAUGUUUUUAUUACUGCCAUAUGUUUGACUUUUGUAACAUUAAUUUGAUCCAUUUAUAGACUGAUACAAUGGCCGUUGUAGUGAAAACUAGCAACUUUAUAACAUUUCAUAAUUACCCUUUCUUUUUAGUGGUUGGAAUUCUUAUAGUCUCUUAGCAAGUUUGAUGAUUACAAUGCAAUAUGUUGCACAAUACUGUACAUUAUGUCUCUAAAGCCUAUUUACUAUUUGUUGCGUCGAGGUAGGCUUAAAUACCUCUAUUAUGCAUCCACUUGCUUUCUGAAAUACCUCUGACAGAAGCAAAGUGCAGCUCCCUUUCCUGUAGUCGAAGUGAAAAGUACAGAUAAUAAAUGGCAGCACAGGAAUUUGGACCUAGAUUUAUUUUGAUCCCAAGGCCCAGGUUCUGUCCAAGACUCUGUGCAGCCCCCCUUGUACCUAAGCACUGGUGAGAACAUAGGUGAUGGAUGGUACUAAUAGCCGCCUGUUUGUUGAGAGCUGCCAGGUCCUGCGGUCAGCAUUUUAGGUUCUGAAGCACUUCAAAGCUUCAAAGUGGUUGUUUUAAGCUGCUUGGUUGGGGUAAUUUUGAUGUAGCAAUCGAUAAUUAAUGUAAUUAAUGUUUAAUUUGAUUCCUUUAACCAGCUCCCCAACCUUAUUUAUCUUCCAUUGCUGCCCAAGAAGCUUAUCCAGGGAGAAGAGAUGAUUCGUGGAGAUCAGUGUAUUUGUGACCCUAUGUGAGCGAGAAUUCUCUUUUCUAAAGUUGAAAAUGGAAAUGAUUUUAUUCUUCAGUCUCAUGCUUGACCAAUAUGAGUCCCCUCUUAAGAGAUGGAUCAGUAAUUGUUUGAGUUCCCUUCAUGGCUCAGCAGUUAAUGAACCCAUCUAGGAUCCAUGAGGAUGUAGGUUCUAUCCCUGGCCUCACUCAGUGUUUAAGAUCCAGUGUUGCCGUGACCUGUGGUGUAGGUCAUAGACGUGGAUCGGAUCUUGUGUUGCUGUGGCUGUGGUAUAGGCCAGCAGCUGCAGCUCCAAUUAGACUCCUAGCCUGGAAACCUCCAUAUGCUGCAGGUGCAGCC